rnacentral:rRNA from 1 species
CUAAGAAUCUUCCGCAAUGGGCGAAAGCCUGACGGAGCGAUGCCGCGUGAUUGAUGAAGGUAGAGAUAUUGUAAAAAUCUUUUCCAGAUGAGGAAUAAGUGUGGGAGGGAAUGCCCGCAUGAUGACGUUAGUCUGGGAAUAAGCCCCGGCCAAUUACGUGCCAGCAGCCGCGGUAACACGUAAGGGGCGAGCGUUGUUCGGAAUUAUUGGGCGUAAAGGGCGUGCAGGCGGUUAUACAAGUCUGAUGUGAAAACUCUGGGCUCAACUCAGAAGCCGCGUUGGAAACUGUAUGACUAGAAUCUUGGAGGGGGAGUUGGAAUUCCUAGUGUAGGGGUGAAAUCUGUUGAUAUUAGGAAGAACACCGGUGGCGAAGGCGAACUCCUGGCCGAAGAUUGACGCU